rnacentral:tRNA from 1 species
GAGAGAGGCUUGCAGCACCGGAGACUGCUAAUUUCCGCCCCCCCGGUUGGACUCCAGGGCUCACCCAUG